CGUUGAUAUGAUGAUAACAUCUUGCAGAAAAGAAGAAGUGUUGACUAAAAAAAAUCAGAUCACAAUUAUCUGAUCAACG